GACGUAGGGCGCGAGCGUUGUCCGGAUUUAUUGGGCGUAAAGAGCUCGUAGGCGGCUUGUCGCGUCGUCCGUGAAAACUUGGGGCUCAACCCCAAGCUUGCGGUCGAUACGGGCAGGCUCGAGUUCGGUAGGGGAGACUGGAAUUCCUGGUGUAGCGGUGAAAUGCGCAGAUAUCUGGAGGAACACCGGUGGCGAAGGCGGCAUCCUGGACCAUUACUGACACUGAAAAGCGAAAGCCAGGGGAGCAAACAGG
rnacentral:rRNA from 1 species